UGGGGAAUAUUGGACAAUGGGCGAAAGCCUGAUCCAGCCAUGCCGCGUGAGUGACGAAGGCCUUAGGGUUGUAAAACUCUUUCGUCGGGGACGAUAAUGACGGUACCCGAAGAAGAAGCCCCGGCUAACUUCGUGCCAGCAGCCGCGGUAAUACGAAGGGAGCUAGCGUUGUUCGGAAUCACUGGGCGUAAAGCGCACGUAGGCGGAUAGUUAAGUCAGGGGUGAAAUCCUGGGGCUCAACCCCAGAACUGCCUUUGAUACUGGCUGUCUCGAGGUCGAGAGAGGUUGGUGGAAUUCCUAGUGUAGAGGUGAAAUUCGUAGAUAUUAGGAAGAACACCAGUGGCGAAGGCGGCCAACUGGCUCGAUACUGACGCUGAGGUGCGAAAGCGUGGGGAGCAAACAGGAUUAGAUACCCUCGUAGUCCCUGAGCGGGCUGGCAAGGCGCAU
rnacentral:rRNA from 1 species